rnacentral:lncRNA from 1 species
AGGUGGGAGGAAGAGCUGGCCAAAUGUAUGAACCUUCAGACCAUGGUGGACACGCUGCAGGAGGCAGCACAAGAAGCCGAGGCCAUCCAGGAGGAGAUGAACGAGAAGAUCGAACGGCUCAAGGCCGAGCUGGUGGUGUUCAAAGGUCUCAUGAGUGACCCCAUGACAGACCUGGACACAAAGAUCCAAGAAAAGGCUAUGAAGGUGGACAUGGACAUCUGCCGCCGGAUCGAUAUCACGGCUAAGCUGUGCGAUGUCGCACAGCAGCGGAACUCGGAAGACGUGUCCAAGAUCUUCCAGGUGGUCCCCAAGAAGAAAGAUCGUAAGGUGGCUUCAGAUGAUGACAUCUCCGAGCAGGAUGGGGAGGUGAAUCGGUUCUCAGAUGAGGAGGUCGGUUCCAUGAAUAUCACGGAUGAGAUGAAACGCAUGUUUAACCAGCUGCGGGAGACCUUUGAUUUUGACGACGACUGUGACAGCCUGACGUGGGAGGAGAAUGAAGACACGUUGCUGCUAUGGGAGGAUUUCACCAACUGUAACCCAACCAUUGACCUGCAGGGCGAGCAAGAAGAAAACUUGGGCAACUUGAUCCAUGAGACCGAGUCCUUCUUCAAGACCAGAGACAAGGAGUACCAGGAGACGAUUGGCCAGAUUGAGCUGGAGCUGGCCACAGCCAAGAGCGACAUGAACCGGCACCUGCAUGAGUAUAUGGAGAUGUGCAGCAUGAAGCGAGGCUUGGACGUGCAGAUGGAGACCUGCCGGCGGCUCAUCAAAGGUUCUGCCGACAGGAAUUCACCGUCUCCCAGCUCUGUGGCCAGCAGUGACUCAGGAAGUACAGAUGAGAUCCAGGAUGACCUGGAGCGGGAGGCGGAUGUGGAGCCCAUGGUCAGCUGAUGACGGAGGCCGGACGCUCCUGGUGGUCUUGGUGAUGGGGCCCAGCCUCCUCUCCCCACUGAGCCAUGAGGGCUCCUCGACUUGGGCUCCAGUCCUCGACACACAGACUUCUGUCCUCCCUUCUCCGGAGGCCCAGCGGGACCGCUGCUUCCUUCCUUCCUCCACCACCCACCCAUGGAAUGGUGCUGUCGAUUUUUCUAUUGUCCCCCCCACACCACAAAUGCAGACUUCUGUGCGUCGAUGCAGUGCAAUUGUGCCUUCUCCCUUAAGCUGAGCCACUUUGAGCUCCAAAGAAUUCUUCCUAGCAGGUGUUUUUUUAUACAAAACUAAGGUGAGGGUGGGGCCUGGGGGCGUGGUAUCUUUUGGUUUUCUCCCUCCCACCUGCUCCUCUGAUUGGACAUGAGCUUUGCUCCCUCCCUCUGUCCCAAGAUGACUUGCGGGAAUCUGCCUUCCCGAGGAAGGAGACUAUUUACCUCCAGGUCUGGGUGAGGAAGAGUCCACAAUCCUUUCUCACCCACCGAGACAGCGAUGGGUGGAAGUGGAGGGAGGGAAGACCAAUUUUUUUUUUCUUCUUUUGGAUCUAGUGGCGAUGUGUGGGGAAAGGCACUGUGGGGGAAGGAAGAGCCUCACUGUGUUUAAACUAUGCAAAAAAAAAAAAAAAAAACCAC